rnacentral:rRNA from 1 species
AUUGAACGCUGGCGGCAGGCCUAACACAUGCAAGUCGAACGAGUGGCGGACGGGUGAGUAAUGUCUGGGAAACUGCCUGAUGGAGGGGGAUAACUACUGGAAACGGUAGCUAAUACCGCAUACCAUCGGAUGUGCCCAGAUGGGAUUAGCUAGUAGGUGGGGUAAAGGCUCACCUAGGCGACGAUCCCUAGCUGGUCUGAGAGGAUGACCGGCAACACUGGAACUGAGACACGGUCCAGACUCCUACGGGAGGCAGCAGUGGGGAAUAUUGCACAAUGGGCGAAAGCCGGAUGCAGCAAUGCCGCGUGUAUGAAGAAGGCCUUCGGGUUGUAAAGCACUGUCAGCGGGGAGGCGUUACCCGCAGAAGAAGCCCCGGCUAACUCCGUGCCAGCAGCCGCGGUAAUUC